UGAGGAAUAUUGGUCAAUGGGCGUGAGCCUGAACCAGCCAAGUAGCGUGCAGGAAGACGGCCCUAUGGGUUGUAAACUGCUUUUAUGCGGGGAUAAAGGAGUCCACGUGUGGAUUUUUGCAGGAACCGCAUGAAUAAGGACCGGCUAAUUCCGUGCCAGCAGCCGCGGUAAUACGGAAGGGCCGGGCGUUAUCCGGGUUUAUUGGGUUUAAAGGGGGCGUAGGCCGCGUUUUAAGCGUGUUGUGAAAUGUAGACGCCCAACGUCUGCAUCGCAGCGCGAACAGGGACGCGUGAGUACGCGCAACGUUGGCGGAAUUCGUCGUGUAGCGGUGAAAUGCUUAGAUAUGACGAGGAACUCAGAUUGCGAAGGCAGCUGACGGGAGCGGCACUGACGCUUAAGCUCGAAGGUGCGGGUAUCAAACAGG
rnacentral:rRNA from 1 species